rnacentral:lncRNA from 10 species
UAUGUAUACCUGUCUUCCACAGAUACAUCAAAUACCAUGGAUCUGGUGAAUCAUAAAUUUCACAUGACCAGGAAGCAUGUACUGAGCCUGGAUCUGUAAAGAGAUAAUGAAUCUGAACUUUGGAGCUACCCUGAAUAUACCUGUACUUUGGGCUGCACUAAUUCUCAGCUAUGCAGAGUGGAUGAGCAGAAUGAAGAAGCUAAGAGGAAAUAACCACUUCAAAUUUAUCCAAUUUUACCAGGCAGAAUACUUGUUGGAAGAGAAAAGAAUACUUUUUGUCUCCUGCCAAACUAAAGUCCAUCUGAUGGAAGUGUGGGUAAGGAAUGAAUUGGAGAAGAUAAAGAUAACAGGCAAGCAGACCAGGUAGGAGGUUGUUAUCAAAGAGCAAAAUACUGAGGGCUUGGAGUAGGGCAGAGGCAGUGGCAGUAGGAAUGGUGAGGAAAGAAUAUAUUUGAGGUAUAUAUUUAUGAGAUUGAAUCCAUGGGACUGGACCUAGUGCCUAAAUACAUCUGGGGCAUUGAUAGAGAGGAAUGUGAUAUGGAGAGGUGUGGAAGGAAUUGCUAAGAAGUGAUAUAGGGUUUUGUUUGUAAUUUGGAAUUUUGUUUGGUACAAUUGAACAGGUGGGUUGGCAUUCACUGUUGUUUGAGAUACAGAAAGUGCAUAUUUAGAGAGAAAAUAAGUUCAGUUUUGGGCAAGAUGGGUUUGAAGUACUAAAUGGAGAUGUUACUAAAGUACUUAGAUUUGUGUAUCCGGAAUUUAGAAGAAUGCUCUGGGCUUGAGAAGAUAGCUUUGGGAUUUUGGGGAUAUGCUCUCAUGUAAGUCCAGGAAAUCCAGCUACAUGUUCUUAACCAAAUAGGAAGGUAUUUUUCUGACAUAACAGGAAACCCAGAGUUAGGUACUCCAGUUAUUUGUGUAGUGGUUUCAGGAUUUCAGCAGUGUUUCAGCUCUAUCAGCUUUAGUGUCU